GAUGAACGCUGGCGGCGUGCCUAAUACAUGCAAGUCGAGCGAAUGGAUUAAGAGCUUGCUCUUAUGAAGUUAGCGGCGGACGGGUGAGUAACACAUGGGUAACCUGCCCAUAAGACUGGGAUAACUCCGGGAAACCGGGGCUAAUACCGGAUAACAUUUUGAACCGCAUGGUUCGAAAUUGAAAGGCGGCUUCGGCUGUCACUCAUGGAUGGACCCGCGUCGCAUUAGCUAGUUGGUGAGGUAACGGCUCACCAAGGCAACGAUGCGUAGCCGACCUGAGAGGGUGAUCGGCCACACUGGGACUGAGACACGGCCCAGACUCCUACGGGAGGCAGCAGUAGGGAAUCUUCCGCAAUGGACGAAAGUCUGACGGAGCAACGCCGCGUGAGUGAUGAAGGCUUUCGGGUCGUAAAACUCUGUUGUUAGGGAAGAACAAGUGCUAGUUGAAUAAGCUGGCACCUUGACGGUACCUAACCAGAAAGCCGCGGCUAACUACGUGCCAGCCGCCGCAGUAA
rnacentral:rRNA from 1 species